rnacentral:rRNA from 1 species
GACGAACGCUGGCGGCGUGCUUAACACAUGCAAGUCGAACGAAGUGGCGAACGGGUGAGUAACGUGUAAUCAACCUGCCCUUCAGAGGGGGACAACAGUUGGAAACGACUGCUAAUACCGCAUACUGAAGGAGGGGAUUGCGUCUGAUUGGCUAGUGGGAGGGGUAACGGCCCACCAAGGCGACGGUCCGUAGGCGGUCUUAGAGGAUGGACGGCCACAAUGGGACAGAGACACGGCCCAAACUCCUACGGGAGGGAGCAGUGGGGAAACUUCCGCAAUGGACGAAAGUCUGACGGAGCAACGCCGCGGGAGUGAUGACGGCCUUCGGGUUGUAAAGCUCUGUUAAGCGGGACGCGGUACCGGAAUAGAAAGCCACGGCUAACUACGUGCCAGCAGCCGCGGUAAUUC